UACAGAGGUCCCAAGCGUUGUUCGGAUUCACUGGGCGUAAAGGGUGCGUAGGCGGUCGGGUAAGUUUGGUGUGAAAGCUCCGAGCUCAACUCGGAAAAGCAUUGGAAACUAUCCCGCUUGAGGGUCGGAGGGGAGACUGGAAUUCUCGGUGUAGCAGUGAAAUGCGUAGAUAUCGAGAGGAACACCAGUGGCGAAGGCGAGUCUCUGGACGACUCCUGACACUGAGGCACGAAAGCUAGGGGAGCAAACAGG
rnacentral:rRNA from 1 species